AAGUGGUAACAAGGUUUCCGUAGGUGAACCUGCGGAAGGAUCAUUG
rnacentral:rRNA from 2 species